rnacentral:tRNA from 1 species
GGAAGGAUGGCAGAGCGGUUGAAUGCGACAGUCUUGAAAACUGUUGUCCCUUCACGGGGACCGUGGGUUCGAAUCCCACUCCUUCCG